UACGGGGGGAGCAAGCGUUGUUCGGAUUUACUGGGCGUAAAGGGCGCGUAGGCGGCCACCGCAAGUCGGUUGUGAAAUCUCUGGGCUUAACCCAGAAAGGUCAACCGAUACUGCGGGGCUAGAGUGCAGAAGGGGCAACUGGAAUUCUCGGUGUAGCGGUGGAAUGCGUAGAUAUCGAGAGGAACACCUGCGGCGAAGGCGGGUUGCUGGGCUGACACUGACGCUGAGGAGCGAAAGCGUGGGGAGCGAACAGG
rnacentral:rRNA from 1 species